rnacentral:rRNA from 1 species
AGCAGCCGCGGUAAUUCCAGCUCCAAUAGCGUAUAUUAAAGUUGUUGCAGUUAAAAAGCUCGUAGUUGAAUUUCGGAGUUCUAUCGUUGGUCGGGCUAUUGUCUGUACUGGCGUGUAGAAUUUCUACCUUCUGGGGAACUAUCAUGUUAUUAAUUUAGCGUGGUAGGAAAUCAGGACCUUUACGUUUAAAAAUUAGAGUGUUCAAAGCAGGCUUAU